UCUUUUUGUUGAGCUGAGCCGAACGAGUCGGCUCACUGAAAAGAGACGGAAUGUCCGUCACUAAUUUGACAUGUGACUACAGCUUGUAUUGAAUUGUGGGUAGUAUCAACCCUGCAAAUGACCAUGUUGUUCACUUGUUCCCUCGAGCUAAAUCUAGGGCCGAGGGGCAACGUUAGAGCAGGUAGCCUAGUGGUAAGAGCGUUGGACUAGUAACCGGAAGGUUGGAAGAUCGAAAGCCCCAGCUUCUGUCGUUCUGCCCCUGAAAAAGGCAGUUAAACCCACUGUCAUUGAAAAUAAGUAUUUGUUCUUAACGGAUUUGCCUAGGUAAAUAAUAAUAAUGCACAAUGGCAGCACAUUCUGAUUUCACCCCAGAACGGUAGGUGUCAGUAAUGCCCAUUGCCUGUCUUGAAAAUAAAGUAUUCUACCUUUGACAACAAUGCUACAAAAAUGAUCCAGAGGCUCAGAAAUCUUUUAAUCGGAGCAUGAUCUGCAAGCAAAGCUACAGUUGUGUUACGGUGAGAUUGCAAAGAGGACCCUACCACCACCCAAACUUCCUGUUGGGCCCAACCACAAGUUUGCCUUCAAUUACUAUAAUGGCAGAGAUGGGUGUAGAGAGUCUGCACCAGCAAUGGUUGUGAUGUCGUGUCAAAAGGCCUUGACUGCUUGCCAAGUUCUGGAGGUGCCAGCAAAGCGUCCAGUCACACCUGGAAAUGUUCUCAGUGAGCUAACGCUGUCUACAGAUCAGCCAUACCUCUGAACAUUAUUUUUUUUUUUCCUGACUUAUUGUAGGUCUGACAGCAGAGCACGAUGUUGCUAUCACUAUUGUUCAAAUCUUGUAAAAUAUUAAAUUGUUAAUAAAUUAUGUAAUGUUUGAAGAAA